UACGUAGGGGGGCAAGCGUUUGUCCGGAAUCAUUGGGCGUAAAGAGCGUGUAGGCGGCUCGAUAAGUCUGCUGUGAAAGUCCAGGGCUCAACCCUGGGAUGCCGGUGGAUACUGUCGGGCUCGAGUCCGGAAGAGGCGAGUGGAAUUCCUGGUGUAGCGGUGAAAUGCGCAGAUAUCAGGAGGAACACCGGUGGCGAAGGCGGGUUCUCUGGGCAUGAUCUGACGCUGAGGAGCGAAAGUGUGGGGAGCGAACAGG
rnacentral:rRNA from 1 species